rnacentral:misc_RNA from 1 species
UGAUUUAUUUAUAGAAACGGGUAAAGCGACCGAAGCGUAACUAAAAAAGCGCAACAAGUUUUAGCAAAAUGGUUGUAACACUUGCCUCAGACAACGCACAUUUCGAAAAAGUUACAGCCGAAAUGUCUCGUCGAAAGCUUCUUCUAACAGGUUUUGGUCCAUUUGGUCAACAUGCUGUAAAUCAUAGUUGGCUUGCAGUGAAGGAGGUGGCUGAUCACGAAUUUGCAUUCUGGGAAAUUAUAGCUAAAGAAAUAGCUGUAGAUUACAAUUUUGUAAAUAAUAAUGUUCCGCAGCUCUGGAAUGAAGUUAAUCCAGAUCUUGUGAUUCAUGUUGGUAUUUCAAGUUAUGAAAAAGGAGUUGUUCAUUUGGAAACAUGUGCCCACUCCUCUGGCUAUAUUCGUGAAGAUAUUAAUGGCUGCUGCCCAAAAAUUGCUGGAAAUAUAGAAUGUUCAGAAGAUGUUUGUCUUGAAACCACAAUUGACGUUGAUUGCAUAGUUAACAAUUUAUCAGAUAGUUUUCCAGUUGUGUGCAAGUCUAAUAAUGCUGGAAGAUAUGACCAGCUUACUUAGCACGUCAGUUAAAGUCAUCAACAAGUUCUAGAAUCAGUAAUUGAUGCCGAUAAUAAUGUUUUCCGGAACCAUCCAAUCCAAACUUUAAUGUGUAACAAAGACCGCCUAAUUUGAACGAAAUUAUAUAAAGAUUGCUAAAAGUAUAUUUUAAACAUGCAAAUACCUUAAAGUGGGCUUAAACAUAUCUAUUGUGCAGUUUGUAGCAGUAUAAAGUUAUAAAAAGGUUGGCAGUUGUUAGCAAGGUCAUUGAUAGCAAAGCCAAAGCCACAUGUUGCGCAGCUAAGGCCAAUUGAUGUUAGACCAAGGAAACAUGUUACAAAUUCGAUAAUUAAUGAAAUUGGUAUUUGUGUGAGUUCAUUUACUACACGUCAUUAAAUAUGCAUCGCGCCCCGACGUUGUUUAUUCACAUACCCACACUGGACGAAGAUGUUACUUUAGAAAAAAUUGUUUCUACGCUCAUAAAUAUAGUGCAACUUUGUAUGGUGCAGGUGCCAUUUGCAAAAUGUUUGUAAUAGCAGAAUUUUUUACAUGUUUGUUAAAACAAGUAUUUCUUUGUCGAUAUUAAAAAAUCAUCUCA